GAAGGGCUGCUGGAGCGCGGCCAGAGCGGACGCCGAGGCCGAGGAGGCGCCGAGAGCGAGUGAGAGCUGCUAGCCAGUUGUCACCUCUCACAGAGAGGUCCACAUUUGCUGAAAUGUAACUCUUAUCUCAUGCACUGGGAGUGAUGAACUUCACUAGGAAAUCAUCGUUCUUUCUGAGAAAACCAACUACCAUGUAAGUAUAUGGCUACCUUGAGGCCACUGAAUUGGAGAAACCACAUUGAAAAAUCUCACAAGUAGGACAGGAGAUGCCAGAUAAAUCCCAGCUGUUCCAGCCUUCACGUAGUUGUGUCAUGCAAACCUGUGAUUGUGGAAGGCAUAAAGAUGACUUCAGCCUCGACCUCCAUCUGACUACAAUCACAUGACAGAUCCCAAACCAACACAACCCAGCUGAGUCUAGUUGGUUCCCAGGACCUUGAGCGGAGUGAUACAUAUUUUUUUAAGCCAGUCUGUUUUGGAAUUGUGUCUUACACAUACCCAGGUAACUGAAAUCAGCACUCUUUAAAGUAUUUUGAGAAAAGGAAUUAUGCAGCAUUAAUCUUGUGUUUUAACAGGAUUUCUCUGGCUUUGUGGGUGGCAAAAAGGAAUCAGGGAGACUAUUUUAAUAAUCCAGACAAAAGAGUUUAGUGGGUUGGACCAGAAUCAUAGCAGGGAGGACCAAGAAAAAGGGUAGGAUUUUGUUUAACUGUAUUUUGAAGGUACAGGUAACUGCUUUACCUGAUAAAUUACAUGUAGAAUACAAGACAAAGGGUUGAAUGAAGGUGUCUCCAAGAGUUUUUAGCAUGUGGCAGAAUGUAGCUGUCAUUUACUGAGUUGGAAGAAUAUGAGAGAUGCUGAUUUGAAGGUGAAAAAUCAGGACCUGAGUUUUGGACUUGUUAUUUUCUACAUGGUUAUUCAACAUCCAAAUGGAGAAAGCAAAGGGGCAAAUAUGUAUGAGUCUAGCUUUUCUAGCAGAGGUCUUAUCUGG
rnacentral:lncRNA from 1 species